AUUGAACGCUGGCGGCAGGCUUAACACAUGCAAGUCGAGCGGAAACGAUGAUAGCUUGCUAUCAGGCGUCGAGCGGCGGACGGGUGAGUAAUACUUAGGAAUCUACCUAGUAGUGGGGGAUAGCACGGGGAAACUCGUAUUAAUACCGCAUACGACCUACGGGAGAAAGGGAGCAGUUUACUGCUCUCGCUAUUAGAUGAGCCUAAGUCGGAUUAGCUAGAUGGUGGGGUAAAGGCCUACCAUGGCGACGAUCUGUAGCUGGUCUGAGAGGAUGAUCAGCCACACCGGGACUGAGACACGGCCCGGACUCCUACGGGAGGCAGCAGUGGGGAAUAUUGGACAAUGGGGGAAACCCUGAUCCAGCCAUGCCGCGUGUGUGAAGAAGGCCUUUUGGUUGUAAAGCACUUUAAGCAGUGAAGAAGACUCCGUGGUUAAUACCCACGGACGAUGACAUUAGCUGCAGAAUAAGCACCGGCUAACUCUGUGCCAGCAGCCGCGGUAAUACAGAGGGUGCAAGCGUUAAUCGGAAUUACUGGGCGUAAAGGGAGCGUAGGUGGCUCUAUAAGUCAGAUGUGAAAUCCCCGGGCUCAACCUGGGAACUGCAUCUGAAACUGUAGAGCUAGAGUAUGUGAGAGGAAGGUAGAAUUCCAGGUGUAGCGGUGAAAUGCGUAGAGAUCUGGAGGAAUACCGAUGGCGAAGGCAGCCUUCUGGCAUAAUACUGACACUGAGGCUUGAAAGCGUGGGUAGCAAACAGGAUUAGAUACCCUGGUAGUCCACGCCGUAAACGAUGUCUACUAGUCGUUGGGUCCCUUGAGGACUUAGUGACGCAGCUAACGCAAUAAGUAGACCGCCUGGGGAGUACGGCCGCAAGGUUAAAACUCAAAUGAAUUGACGGGGGCCCGCACAAGCGGUGGAGCAUGUGGUUUAAUUCGAUGCAACGCGAAGAACCUUACCUGGUCUUGACAUAUCUAGAAUCCUGCAGAGAUGCGGGAGUGCCUUCGGGAAUUAGAAUACAGGUGCUGCAUGGCUGUCGUCAGCUCGUGUCGUGAGAUGUUGGGCCAAGUCCCGCAACGAGCGCAACCCUUGUCCUUAGUUACCAGCGGGUUAAGCCGGGAACUCUAAGGAUACUGCCAGUGACAAACUGGAGGAAGGCGGGGACGACGUCAAGUCAUCAUGGCCCUUACGACCAGGGCUACACACGUGCUACAAUGGUAGGUACAGAGGGCAGCUACACAGCGAUGUGAUGCGAAUCUCAAAAAGCCUAUCGUAGUCCAGAUUGGAGUCUGCAACUCGACUCCAUGAAGUAGGAAUCGCUAGUAAUCGCGGAUCAGAAUGCCGCGGUGAAUACGUUCCCGGGCCU
rnacentral:rRNA from 1 species